UACCCUACGGGAGGCAGCAGUGGGGAAUAUUGCACAAUGGGGGAAACCCUGGUGCAGCGACGCCGCGUGGGCGAGGAAGUACCUCGGUAUGUAAAGCUCUAUCAGCAGGGAAGAAGCAAGACGGUACCUGACUAAGAAGCCCCGGCUAACUACGUGCCAGCAGCCGCGGUAAUACGUAGGGGGCAAGCGUUAUCCGGAUUUACUGGGUGUAAAGGGAGCGUAGACGGUAUGGCAAGUCUGAAGUGAAAGCCCAGGGCUUAACCCUGGGACUGCUUUGGAAACUGUUAGACUAGAGUGCUGGAGAG
rnacentral:rRNA from 1 species